CUCUCUCCAACCCCGCCGCCUGCUCCACCCCUGUAAAUUCGGUUCGUCGCCAGGUGCAUCGCCUCAUUGAGAAAUCACCAUGAAUGUUCCCAAGACCAUGUCUAAUUUACUCUGUUAUAGGGCUUUGUUAGAAAAGCUGAUUUAACUAAGUAUUAUUCUGCUCUAGAUUGUAGCACUGGUUGACAUGAUACAAUAUCUUUUCAAAAGAUGAUACAUUAUCUUCAUGAAAGAAAGGAAGUUGGAGAAGUUAUUAUUUAAGAGGAAUUCAGUGUCAUGUGGUUCUCAAGAGCUAAAAUGGAACAACAAGUGCAAGCCUGUCAUGCCUACACUAACUAAUCAAGUAGCAUAUGCAAAUUUUUAAGCAUACUACAUUCAGAUAUGACAUUUGAAUAUAAAAUCUGGCAAUUCUUUUUGUAAUACUAUUAAGCUCGUCAUGGUGGUUACCAUGAAUGAGUGUCCCAUUUAGUAUUUUUUAUAUGAGAAAUCAUCAGCUUAGUUGGUGGCUGUGUUGAUGAGAAGGCCCUUAAUGGUUCAGAUUUCCCGAGGGAGAAGAAGGAGGUGCCGAAAGGGUAUGGGAGUAACAAGUCUGAAUCGAAGAGUAUAUAUGUUUUGAUUUUGAGUUGCAUUGCCCAGUAUUUUUAUUGUUCUAAGAAAUCCAUGGAGAUGUCUAUGGAACAUUUCCUUGAUGUGAUAGGCAUAUUUGUUUACCACAUUCAGUUGUUGGCCCUGCUGUUGACGUCCAUGGUGGCGCUGAUGAUGAUCUUGGCAAGGAUUUGAUGUAUCUGCCUGGGGUCUUGGUAUGUCCUUGAGCACGCAUCAGGCUUCUCUAGCUACGAGGGUUCAAGGACGGGCGCGGCAAAGCACGCCUGCAUGAUCUAGUUUGACUCUGAUGACAAGGUGAAAGACUAAGCAAACGGUGGUCACGAGGUCACCGGUGUGAAUGCCAACAACCACGCUAGUGGUGAUGACGAUCACCAGAACCACAAAUGUCGCAACCGCCUUCCAAGCCUUGCCAAAACAGAGCACACAUACAAGUCUAAUAAUCGCCACCUCCACGACAACCGAUGGAGAUCGCUUACCGAGGGAGAAGGUCAUUGUGUGAAUUUUUUAGAACCAAAGGACAUAACUCGUGGAAAAGAUAUGUGUAUGAAUAAUGGUCCAAACGUUGUCUAAAUGGUCCUCCGCUGAACUUGGUGGUUCCACAUAUACCACCACCCGGUCAACCUGAUUGAGUGAGUUGAUAAUAUUUGGAAGUAUGUAAUCUCCUCCAUAUUUGUCCAUGCACUCAUGAUAUGAACUCAUCGUUUUUAAUCUGAAUUCUUGAUGUUCCCAACGUUUGUCAUCUAUGAUGCCAAUUGGGGGUUCAUAUCUGAAACUAGCUAAUUCUGGUUUGUCCCUUCUAUGAGUACAUAGUGUAUC